AGCAGCCGCGGUAAUUCCAGCUCCAAUAGCGUAUAUUAAAGUUGUUGCAGUUAAAAAGCUCGUAGUUGAAUUUCGAGAUCAAUUUGUCGGUCGUGCCUCGGUACGUACUGGCAUUAUUGAUUUCUCCCUUCUGAAGAACCGUGAUGUCAUUAAUUUGGUGUCGUGGGGAAUCAGGACUGUUACUUUGAAAAAUUAGAGUGUUUAAAGCAGGCGCACGCUUGAAUACAUUAGCAUGGAAUAAUGAAAUAGGACGUUUGAUUCUAUUUUGUUGGUUUCUAGGAUCGACGUAAUGAUUAAUAGGGAUAGUUGGGGGCAUUAGUAUUCAAUUGUCAGAGGUGAAAUUCUUGGAUUUAUUGAAGACUAACUACUGCGAAAGCAUUUGCCAAGGAUGUUUUCAUUAAUCAAGAACGAAAGUUAGGGGAUCGAAGACGAUCAGAUACCGUCGUAGUCUUAACCAUAAACUAAUGCCGACUAGGGAUCGGAUGAU
rnacentral:rRNA from 1 species